GUGUUUAUUUUCGCCUUGCGUUUAAUGAACUGGUCAGUGGAGGAGAAUGAAUGUAUACAAAAUAUUUGCUAAAAAAAAGUUUUAGGAUAUGUCAUCAAGACAAAAACUGCAAUUAUCUUCGCAAUAGACCAGGAGAAAACGCUAGAUUGGAUUUUUAACCAAUUUACGAAAAUUAAUGCAUGUAAACAUAACUAAUAUGCGAUUUCUCAGGACAUUUUAUCCAUGUUAUUCCCCAAAAAAGCUUUGUCAUGGCUUGAAAUACUUCCCAUGAUGCUUUGGAUCUGCAAAAUGUUGCUGGACAAACCAAAUCACAGAAGCCAGUUUCACAGUCAAUCAGUCUCGCUGUGUCCCUCUGAACUGUCCCAGUUCUUGUUCUGCCCCAUACACAAACAUAUGUUUUUCUAAACUCACCUUCUCAUUGAAACCUUCAGUUUCAAACAAAUACGACUUGUACAUACCUUAAUGAAACUCUUCCAACAUCAGUUUACAUCAGCAAUUUUCUGUCCAAAUAGGAAGCUUUUUUCUAUUUUUUCAUUACCGUCAUUUAAUACAGUCAGGAGACCAAUGAAAAAAAAAUCAAGCAAAAUCAAAUAUAUUUACUUAUUACUGUAUCUUGGAUUACUGUUGCAAUAAUUAGCUUUAUUUAAUAUAAGAACAUGCUCAUUGGACAGUAUGAAAUUCUGAUUGAUGUUCUAGAACUUGAAUGUUCCUAUUGGGUGACUUUAUAUCCUGCUGGACAGGAUAAUAGAUCUAGAAUAAUUAUACUAAUACAUACCAUUCAGCCAGGUCCUUUAAACAUUUUGAACUGAAUUGACUCAUUUCUUAGAUUUUGCACUAUUCGUCUAUUAAGAUGCUCUGACGUGUGCUUAAAUUGUUUCAGAGACAUUAACCGUUUCAUUCUGAAAUAACAGACCAGACUUGAUGCAAAUUGAGUUGUUAAAUUCCUGUCUGGCAUUUUGGAGCUUGUUUAAGAUCAAAGUUUGGCUGGUAAGCUUAGCUUAACUAAUCUGACCAUGAUUUUGGUCAAAGUGGGCGAAAUUUAGUUUCUCCAUUGAUGCCCAUUCAAAAUCAGCCGUGUAUUCUGAAAUAAACUGAAUAUAUAAAUUGCAAAAAAGUCAUUGUAUUAGAUGUUCAACCUUUUUUUCCAUAAUAAACCAAAUACAUAAAUUGUAUAAAUCUAUUUCUAUAAAUGUAUAAAUCUCACUUUCGAAAAUGUUUUACUUAAGUCUGAAUUGAAACUGUCACGUGACCUUUACGGCUCAGCUGAUUGGCUCCAAAACAAUUCUUCAGACCUAACUGUGCAUGAAGCAAAAAUAUUGUUAAAUUAGACUUAUAAUAAUGGUUUUAUUAUUCAUAGCUGAUAAAAGGCUCCCCGGCUCUUUUCUUUAUCCUCUCUCUGCUUGUUAAAUGUCCUCGCCGUGAUCCCUGUGGAAGGGGCUGCCAUAAACUCUGUUCUCAUUGUUUAUUUCUCUCACGCUCUCUCUCUUCUCAACAUUAUUACUUUGUCCUUUUGGUCCUACGCUGUUUGCUGCCCCUGACAAUAGUCUGUUUUGAACUAAAAUGAAAUCAGACAUUGCAAUAUCAGCCCAUAAGCCAUUCAUUUAUUUUGCCAUUUGCCUUCAAAUUGAUCCUGUGAAGUUGAGAUAAUGGAAUAAAGGACUUUCCUGUGCAAAACUCAGCUUUAAAGUUUGGUUUAUGGGUAAUUCCUACUGUGAAUCACACAUCCAAUCCAGUACAUGUCUUAUGAAUAAACUUAAUUAUUAAAGAUCACUAUUAAGUGAACAGAGUGAGUUGUUAAUACAGUGGAUGUUGCCAAUUUAUUGCCAAUGGUUCAAACAAAUCAUGUUUACAGGUGCAUAUUGUUUUAACUGGUAAUCAUUUUUAUUUCAACUUUCCAUUCUACUGGUCUUUUGUGAAAUCCCUUAAACAAACAAAAGCCAUGUUUACUUAAGAACAUUAUUUUAUUUUGCAAACAGCAGUGAAAACAUCAGUAAGUUUUAGCAAUGGAUUUAAAUAAUUGCUUGAUGUUUUGUGAUAUCAGUUUGUUAGUGUCACUCUAAAACAUUCAAAAUGAACUUCAGGUUAAAAAGUUUUAAAGAAUGACCUCAAUCCUUCACUGAGGAAUGACUAACUUUAGCUCCAUUGUGUAAAUAAUAAUGAAUAAAGUUGAAGUGUCUGAUCUUGACCAGA